CGGCCCCUUGGAGAAGCCACUCCACCUCCCCUUCCGUGGGCGGCGGGAGGCGGUAGCCCUCCUCCCCCGGGAGGUAGCUUCCCCCUAAGGCCGCCC
rnacentral:tRNA from 1 species